GGGCGGCCUUCCCCCAGACCCUGCCUCAACCAGCAGCCCCUGCGCAGCUCCAGCCACUCCUAGAAUCUAGGCCUGCUGGUCUGGUCACCUUGCUGAGCUCACCACCCUGCGCCCACCCCAAGUGCCCCCAGCUGGUCUCCUCCCUGUGCGAACCCUGUCUGCUUUUCCUGGCCAUUGCUCUCUCUGAGGCCGUCUUCGGGAGGGAGGGUCAUGCAGCAGGAGGAACCGAGCCUAGAGUGCUUGGGGAGGCGGAGGUGGGGAACAGCGCUACAUCCCAGGGGCCUCCUGUUUUUGUGAAUCUUUUUUUCCAGGGGGCCUUGACAGCAUUUGAGGGCCAGGAGGUAUUCAUCCUUGGCCACCGUGACAGGCUGAUGCUGGGUGGCCCAGAGUGAGUUGGAGGAGGAAAUGCCCAAGGGCCCGUCUCUGGAGUCACUGUUUGCCAUUCCCCUGAGCCAUAGGCAUCCUGAGAUGGUUCCAGUGACGGACAGGCAUGAGGUGGCCACAGCCAGGCGGCCUGAGCUCUGCUCCCUUUCUGGCCAUGCUCGGGCAGCAGGCUCCUGGAAGAAAAGCCCAGCUUGGGGUGUGUGCUGUCGUCUGUGGCCCGAGCGCCCCACCACUGCUGGUUUCCAGGUGCCAGUGCCCGGCCCUGACUGCGGAGUUGGGAUGAGCCAUGCACGAUCUGCUUGCCAAGCCAUUAUGCCCCAGGCCCAGCAGCCCCCAGCCCCAACCCCGUGCCUUCCUGGGUCUCCAGAGAGGCAGGAAAGCCUGGGGAGAAGGCCACAGCCCCAGUCAGGCUGCCUGGGCCGGAAUCCCGGCUCUGCCUCCGGCUGGGCGAGCUUGGGCCGUGCCCUGGGCUUGGCCUUUAGUUCCUCCCUGUAAAGUGAGGAAAAUGAGGCUCAGGUGAGCACGAUGGGUUCCUCUCUCGGGAGCAGCGUCUGGGAGGCCAGGCCCCUGGGGUCAGUGGCUGGGACAGCAGCGAGGGCCCAGAACAGGGAGCAGAGCCCAGGAUGGGGCAGGCGGGAGCCGCUCCGAGGCCAGGUCGCCAGGGCUGAGUUAACACAAAUGUGAGUCCCUAUCUCUGCUGGCUUGUGUGGUGCGGUCCUCAGAUGUGAGUUGGCUGUGACUGUCACCACUGUCUUUGGGGGCCGAAAAUUCACGGGGACAUUUCCCAGAUACCAGGGCCGCAUCUUAAGGUUCUGACGCUUUUGGAAAAGCCCACACACGCACCGGUGGCUCCUGCGGACACAAACUUCCGCGCCUGCCCAUGUCCCCUCCCAGAAGCGAACCCCUGAGGGUUCCGCCAAGGGACAGUCAGCCUCCUUGUGAAUGAGCAGGUCCGGGAAGGGCGGGGAGGAGGGCACCUUGCUCCUGCUCAUCGACCUGUUCAACCUCCUGGGCAAAAGGGUUUUGGUUUUUGUUUUUGUUUUUUAAAUCAACAGGGUGAUGUCCCGUCGGGGACAGUGUCUCCCAGGUGGCUGACUCCAGGCGGGUGUCUGUGGCCGCAUCGGCCCCACCUCCUGGACACACCUCUGCUGGCCAAGGGUGACAUAACCCUGUUCCCUGUCACUCUGUUCCCGCUUAUCUCUCCCGCCUUUUGGGCGCCACCACCUUCUUGGAAAUGAGUUGGGCCAAAGGGGAGGGGGCUUAGCAUCCCCGCCUCCCCCAGGAGGCUCCAUAAAAGCAACUGUAACUGGACUCCCGGACACCAGAGCGAGUCCUAGAGCUAACAAGCAGGACAGCUGGACGGACAGACAGCACCAUGGCGCUGAGCGUGCAGAUCCGGGCCGCCUGCCUCCUGCUCCUCCUCCUCGUCAGCCUGACCGCCGGCUCCGUUCUCCCAUCCCAGACAAGACAGCUCACAGACCUCCGGACCCAGGACACAGCAGGAGCCACUGCUGGUUUGACGCCCGUGGCCCAGAGGCUAAGAAGAGACACCCACUUCCCCAUCUGCAUCUUCUGCUGCGGCUGCUGUCGCAAAGCAAUCUGUGGGAUGUGCUGCAAGACGUAGAGCUGCCCACCCUGCCCCAGCCCCUGCGUCACCCCUUAUUUAUUCCGGCUGCCUCCAACCCUGAAUGGUCUUGGAAUAAAAUAGCUUUUCUUUUCCAAA
rnacentral:lncRNA from 1 species